rnacentral:rRNA from 1 species
AUUGAACGCUGGCGGCAGGCCUAACACAUGCAAGUCGAACGGUAGCACAGAGAGCUUGCUCUCGGGUGACGAGUGGCGGACGGGUGAGUAAUGUCUGGGAAACUGCCCGAUGGAGUGGGAUAACUACUGGAAACGGUAGCUAAUACCGCAUAACGCCGCAAGACCAAAGUGGGGGACCUUCGGGCCUCACACCAUCGGAUGUGCCCAGAUGGGAUUAGCUAGUAGGUGGGGUAAUGGCUCACCUAGGCGACGAUCCCUAGCUGGUCUGAGAGGAUGACCAGCCACACUGGAACUGAGACACGGUCCAGACUCCUACGGGAGGCAGCAGUGGGGAAUAUUGCACAAUGGGCGCAAGCCUGAUGCAGCCAUGCCGCGUGUAUGAAGAAGGCCUUCGGGUUGUAAAGUACUUUCAGCGGGGAGGAAGGCGGUGAAGUUAAUAACUUCACCGAUUGACGUUACCCGCAGAAGAAGCACCGGCUAACUCCGUGCCAGCCGCCGCAGUAA